rnacentral:rRNA from 1 species
AACGAACGCUGGCGGCGCGUCUUAAACAUGCAAGUCGAACGGCAGGAAGGGGCUUGCCCCUUCUGAGAGUGGCGGACUGGUGAGUAACACGUGGGUGACAUACCUUUUAGUUGGGGAUAGCUAUUAGAAAUAGUAGGUAAUACCGAAUGUGACCGUACCUGUUAGAGGGGUACGAGGAAAGGAGCUAAGGCUUCGCUAAAAGAAUGGCUCGCGGCCCAUUAUGCUCGUUGGUGAGGUAACGGCCCACCAAGGCGAUGAUGGGUAUCCGGCCCGAGAGGGUGAACGGACACAUUGGGACUGAGAUACGGCCCAGACUUCUACGGGAGGCAGCAGUUAAGAAUAUUCCGCAAUGGACGAAAGUCUGACGGAGCGACGCCGCGUGGAUGAAGAAUGCCGAAAGGUUGUAAAAUCCUUUUAAGCCUGAUGAAUAAGCACAGUAGGGAAUGAUUGUGCGGUGACCGUAGGGCUUGAAUAAGCACCGGCUAAUUACGUG